rnacentral:rRNA from 1 species
GAUAAACGCUGGCGGCGUGCAUGAGACAUGCAAGUCGAACGGACGAUCAGGGCUUGCUCUGAUCGUUAGUGGCGGACGGCUGAGUAACGCGUAGGUGACCUGCCCCGAAGUGGGGGAUAACUGCCCGAAAGGGUGGCUAAUACCGCAUGUGGUGGUUCGUUCAUUCGAACCAUCAAAGCAGCAAUGCGCUUCGGGAGGGGCCUGCGUCCGAUUAGCUCGUUGGUGGGGUAACGGCUCACCCAAGGCGACGAUCGGUAGGUGGUCUGAGAGGACGAUCACCCAGACUGGGGACUGAGACACGGCCCAGACUCCUACGGGAGGCAGCAGUCGGGAAUUUUUGCGCAAUGGGCGAAAGCCUGACGCAGCAACGCCGCGUGAGGGAUGAAGGCCUUCGGGUUGUAAACCUCUUUUAUCAGGGACGAUGAUGACGGUACCUGACG